UGGACUUUUUACUUAAUAUAUUUAGUACAUCCUCUGUAUUAAUGUGUAAAUAUGAACGAAUAUAUAAUAUAGCUAGUCCAUUCAAUUAGUUUUGUCUGAUUGUAUUCCGAAUAUAUUAUUUCAAAUAUUUCGAUGUUGAAAAUGAUUGUUCAAUAUUUUCUAUUUCGUUAUUAUAUUAUUUUGUUUAACGAUCGUAUAGAAAUAUUAUUCACCAUUACAUAGGCGAACACAAAAAGACAACAAUGGACAAUGUAGGAGAUCGUCGGAUAAUCAAAUCACAUCCAACAACUAUAAGCCAAACCAAAAUAAAAACCAAAACUAAAUCUGUUGGGCAUCGCUGUUCUGUUAGCAAAUUUUUAAACAUAGUGCCAAUAUCUGAAAAAUCCGUUGGAUUUGUUUGUGAAUUUGGAUAAUUAUUAAAAUAUAUUCUAAAGAAUAUAAUAUUUUCAGUUAUUAAUGAAAAUUAUUACAUAUAAUAUGUUUUUAAGGUGAUCCAAAGCCCUCUCCUGAAUGCGCCACUGAACCACCACCAACAUAUUUUUAGAAGUAUAUCCAGAAUGAGAUGUUUUUUGGGAAAGCAUCUGCUUUCUUCAUUGAGAAAGACAUUCAUGACAUAUCGUUUGAUGUGCACCUCAUUAAAAUACUCCACUAUGGUGAUUUAUUUCUUGAAAUUCAUUCAACAAACCUAAUUUUACUUAAAGGCAACUAUGGUUAUCGACAAACCGCUGUUUUUUCAUGCACUAAUUCUUUGAGGGGAAAAUUAAUAAAGCAGAUUUGAUGGAUAUAAUUCCAUUGCACGAGUAUACUGCUACUGCUAAAGAUCCAAGAGUUAUCAGUAAAUCAGAAUUUAAAGGUAGAAAUUGGAUAAAUUUCUUAUACAAAGAAAACUGUAGUAUCAGCAUGUAUGCCUUGAUUCACAAACGAUUAAUACAUUACUGUACGGCAUAUUUGGGAAAAGAUGAUAAUUUUGAUCAAAUACCGACGUUUAUGAAUGAUGAUAAUGUAUUUGAUCUUCCUACUGCUCAAGGCGAACCAAUAAUUAAUUAUGGAUACGAAUUUGAUAUAGCACCUUUUAAUGAAAAAUUUAGAAUGUCAAUAUCGGAAAAAAUACUGUGUAUACUGGUAUGCGUAAUUGUUCGUUUCAAAAAGUAGAGA
rnacentral:lncRNA from 1 species